rnacentral:lncRNA from 1 species
UUUUAACGCAGCAAGUCCUUGCUCAACUGUUGUCUCGUUGUUUGUGCAUUUAGGGCAUUAAAUCGUUACUUCUUCCGCGUUGGAUGAUUAGAAAGCACUGGCCUGAAGGGAACUGAUGAAAUCUGCUUCCUUCUGACAGUUAAAAGGAGGGGAGGAGGGGGGAGAAUUCACCGUCAGGGUACUACCGCGGGCAGGGAGGGCCCUCAGGGCAGCCAAACGCCUCAGGGCCGCCGGCGCGAGCGGAGCCGUUACCCCGCGAUGAGCCGUGAGCGCGAGGGUCGGAGCGGCACCGCCUGAACGAGCGGAGGGGGCUCCCCAGCUGCGCUAUUUUUACGACGCCUCUGAAAGCACUCCUGUCUUGGCCACACAAAUGAGAAGAAAUGC